UAGCUCAGUAGGUAGAGCAUGGGACUCUUAAUCCCAGGGUCGUGGGUUCAAGCCCCAC
rnacentral:tRNA from 1 species